AAUGAACGCUGGCGGCAGGCCUAACACAUGCAAGUCGAACGCCCCGCAAGGGGAGUGGCGCACGGGUGAGUAACGCGUGGGAAUAUGCCCUUUGGUUCGGAAUAACACAGGGAAACUUGUGCUAAUACCGGAUAAGAUCUACGGAUGAAAGAUUCAUCGCCGAAGGAGUAGCCCGCGUAGGAUUAGCUAGUUGGUGAGGUAAUGGCUCACCAAGGCGACGAUCCUUAGCUGGUCUGAGAGGAUGAUCAGCCACACUGGGACUGAGACACGGCCCAGACUCCUACGGGAGGCAGCAGUGGGGAAUAUUGGACAAUGGGCGAAAGCCUGAUCCAGCCAUGCCGCGUGAGUGAUGAAGGCUUUAGGGUUGUAAAGCUCUUUCGCCAGGGAAGAUAAUGACGGUACCUGGAAAAGAAGCCUCGGCUAACUCCGUGCCAGCCGCCGCCGUAACAC
rnacentral:rRNA from 1 species